rnacentral:rRNA from 1 species
UACAGAGGGUGCUAGCGUUGUUCGGAAUCAUUGGGCGUAAAGGGCGUGUAGGCGGUUUGUUAAGUCAUGUGUGAAAUCCCUCGGCUCAACCGGGGAACGACGCAUGAAACUGGCAAGCUAGAGUACCAAAGAGGGGGGUGGAAUUCCCGGUGUAGCGGUGAAAUGCGCAGAUAUCAGGAGGAACACCGGUGGCGAAGGCGGGUCUCUGGGCCGUAACUGACGCUGAGGAGCGAAAGCGUGGGGAGCGAACAGG